AUUAGUUUGAUCCUGGCUCAGGACGAACGCUGGCGGCGUGCCUUAGGCAUGCAAGUAGAACGAUCCAAAUUCGUUUGGGAGAGUUGCGAACGGCUGAGUAACACGUAAGAAUCUACCCCUUGGUGCGGAAUAGCCCAUCGAAAGAUGGAGUAAUACCACAUAAGAUCCGAGGAUGAAAGGGCAUAACUGCCCGCCGAGGGAGGAGCUUGCGGCCCAUCAGCUUGUUGGUAGGGUAAUGGCCUACCAAGGCUUAGACGGGUAGGGGGCGUGAGAGCGUGUACCCCCAGAAUGGUACUGAGAACGGACCAUACACCUACGGGUGGCAGCAACCGGGAAUUGUGCGCAAUGGACGAAAGUCUGACGCCGCGACGCCGCGUGAAGGAUGAAGGCCUAUGGGUCGUAAACUUCUUUUGACGUAAGGGAGACCUUACGUAGAAUAAGCACCCGCUAACUACGUGCCAGCAGCUGCGGUGAUACGUAGGGUGCGAGCGUUGUCCGGAGUUAUUGGGCGUAAAGAGUUCGUAGGCGUCUUUUUAAGUUGUUCUUCAAAUACCAGGGCUUAACCUUGGAAAGGGGGACAAUACUGAAAAGAUUGAAGAAUGUAGGGGCUGUCGGAAUUUAUCAUGUAGGGGUGAAAUCCGUUGAUAUGGUAAAGAACGCCGAGGGCGAAGGCAGACAGCUGGGCAUUUCUUGACGCUGAGGAACGAAAGCUAGGGUAGCGAAAGGGAUUAGAGACCCCUGUAGUCCUAGCCGUAAACGAUGCUCGCUAGCCGUGUGGAUUUAUCUGCGCGGCGUAAGCUAACGCGUUAAGCGAGCCGCCUGGGGAGUACGAGCGCAAGCUUAAAACUCAAAGGA
rnacentral:rRNA from 1 species